rnacentral:rRNA from 1 species
GAGAACCGUAACACAGGUGCUGCAUGGCUGUCGUCAGCUCGUGUCGUGAGAUGUUGGGUUAAGUCCCGCAACGAGCGCAACCCUUGUCAUUAGUUGCUACAUUCAGUUGGGCACUCUAAUGAGACUGCCGGUGACAAACCGGAGGAAGGUGGGGAUGACGUCAAGUCCUCAUGGCCCUUAUAGGUGGGGCUACACACGUCAUACAAUGGCUGGUACAAAGGGUUGCCAACCCGCGAGGGGGAGCUAAUCCCAUAAAACCAGUCGUAGUCCGGAUCGCAGUCUGCAACUCGACUGCGUGAAGUCGGAAUCGCUAGUAAUCGUGGAUCAGAAUGUCACGGUGAUACGUUCCCGGGUCUUGUACACACCGCCCGUCACACCAUGGGACGGGGUCUCGCCAGAAGUAGUUGCCUAACCGCAAGGAGGGCGAU